rnacentral:rRNA from 1 species
GAUCCUGGCUCAGGAUGAACGCUGACAGAAUGCUUAACACAUGCAAGUCGAUGGGGGAAGCGGUGCUUGCACCGUGAAACCAUGGCGGACGGGUGAGUAACGCGUAAAGAACUUGCCGAAUGGGACUGGGGAUAACAGCUGGAAACAGCUGAUAAGACCAGAUAUUAUGAACUUGUUGCAUAGUAAGUUUAUGAAAAGAGAUGCCAUUUGAGAGCUUUGCGUCCUAUUA